GAGCAAAUCUGGUCCAAACGAAAAUCCGAGCCUAGAAUCGUGAUCCUCAUCGCAAGAGGAUUAUAAGGAACGGGCGCAGGAGCGUCAAGCGGACAAGCGGGUGGCGAACCACGUCAAAAAGGGCUACUUUGAAGGUGAUGAGGUGGAUCAUAUGGAUGACGGUCAAGCAACGUAGAAGAACCGAACACGAUUUUUUGAA